AUAACGCAUCGAAAGAUGUGCUAAUACCGCGUAAGACCACAGCCUCACAUGGGGCAGGGGUCAAAGGAGCAAUCCGGAUAAAGAUGGGCUCGCGUCCGAUUAGCUAGUUGGUGAGAUAACAGCCCACCAAGGCGACGAUCGGUAGCCGACCUGAGAGGGUGAUCGGCCACAUUGGAACUGAGAGACGGUCCAGACUCCUACGGGAGGCAGCAGUGGGGAAUAUUGGGCAAUGGGCGAAAGCCUGACCCAGCAACGCCGCGUGAGGGAAGAAGGGUUUCGGCUCGUAAACCUCUGUCCUAUGGGACGAAGGAAGUGACGGUACCAUAGGAGGAAGCCCCGGCUAACUACGUGCCAGCAGCCGCGGUAAUACGUAGGGGGCGAGCGUUGUCCGGAAUGAUUGGGCGUAAAGGGCGCGUAGGCGGCCUGCUAAGUCUGAAGUGAAAGUCCUGCUUUCAAGGUGGGAAGUGCUUUGGAUACUGGUGGGCUGGAGUGCAGGAGAGGAAAGCGGAAUUACCGGUGUAGCGGUGAAAUGCGUAGAGAUCGGUAGGAACACCAGUGGCGAAGGCGGCUUUCUGGACUGAAACUGACGCUGAGGCGCGAAAGCGUGGGGAGCAAACAGGAUUAGAUACCCUGGUAGUCCACGCGGU
rnacentral:rRNA from 1 species